UUUCUUUUUUUCGCGCCUUGCAUUUUUUAUGACAGCUGAAAAUAGAAACAGCAUUCUUUUCAUUCAUUUCAUGCUGCCUUCUCGGUGCGCUUUGCGAGUGCUCUCGGUGCUUAUCUUCGACAAAAUGGCGAUGUUGGAAUGCUUUUUUUCAAGAUUCGUGGUCGUGGCUACAAAGCGAAAGGGUUCAUGGAGGAUGCGUUGUCGAUAGCAAGAGGCCUCGGCAGUUCUCGGAAGAGCGAGUCAAAGGCAACCGAUUCCUAAAAGGAUAUAUUUAGAUGACAGAAUCAACAUAGGAUUAGGGAUCAAUGGUAGCCCCAACUACAAUUCAUCCGCCAGUUCUUCCUCCGGUGGUCAUGGAUUCUCCACCGCCAGCACCGAUGGACUUCGCGUCAAGGCUUUCCCAUCAAACCACUCGUCAGUUACUUCCAUUACUAUAAAUACCGCCACCCACUUCUAUUUACAAAGGUUUAAGUUGAAGUAAAAUCCACGUCGAACGGGAAAAAAGUCCAUGCGGGAAAAAAGAUGCGCAAGGAGAAACUAAAGUUGGAGAUUGAACGUUUGCUGUUUGCAAAUGUUUCCUCUUGUGAUGAAGAGUUUACUAUGAUUGAAGUAUACUGCGAUCGAAAGCUGGCUCGUGUGUAGCACGGAAAAAAGUCCUGUUUGCCUAUAGUGUAGUGCUUGAGGACGAAUUAUCGUCAUCUGGCGCUGAAGCAAUCCAAUCACCUACCAAAAAUUUCCGCUUCCAAGAAAUAGCAUCGGAAGGCGUCGUACCUUGAAAGCAAUUGCUAGGAAGCGGUUAAUGGAUCCUUUGAAUUUACCAGAACUUAACCUCGAAAAACAAGAUCAAGUAUAUCCGGAAGUUCGCCGCCACCUGAUCUAUUUCAACAGCUUUGCAUUAAUCCACCCCAAUACAAAAAAUUGAUUUACGUGCUGCUCCCCAAAUGACCCCCUUUCGUGCAAUGGUACCUUCGGGUACGCCUUC